rnacentral:rRNA from 1 species
UCGAUUUCCUGAGUAGCGGCGAGCGAAACGGAAAGAGCCCAAACCAAGAAGCUUGCUUCUUGGGGUUGUAGGACACUCUAUACGGAGUUACAAAAGAAAGUUAUAAAUGAAGCGGUCUGGAAAGGCCCGCCAAAGACGGUAACAGCCCGGUAGUUGAAAUGGCUUUCCCUCCAGAGUGGAUCCUGAGUACGGCGGAACACGUGAAAUUCCGUCGGAAUCCGGGAGGACCAUCUCCCAAGGCUAAAUACUCCCUAGUGACCGAUAGUGAACCAGUACCGUGAGGGAAAGGUGAAAAGCACCCCGGAAGGGGAGUGAAACAGUUCCUGAAACCGUGUGCCUACAAGUAGUUAGAGCCCGUUAAUGGGUGAUAGCGUGCCUUUUGUAGAAUGAACCGGCGAGUUACGAUUUGUUGCAAGGUUAAGCGGAAAAAGCGGAGCCGUAGCGAAAGCGAGUCUGAAUAGGGCGCAUAAGUAACAGGUCGUAGACCCGAAACCAGGUGAUCUACCCAUGUCCAGGAUGAAGGUAAGGUAAUACUUACUGGAGGUCCGAACCCACGCACGUUGAAAAGUGCGGGGAUGAGGUGUGGGUAGCGGAGAAAUUCCAAUCGAACUUGGAGAUAGCUGGUUCUCUCCGAAAUAGCUUUAGGGCUAGCCUCGAGGUAAAGAGUCAUGGAGGUAGAGCACUGUUUGGACUAGGGGCCCUUCUCGGGUUACCGAAUUCAGAUAAACUCCGAAUGCCAUGUACUUAUACUCGGGAGUCAGACUGCGAGUGAUAAGAUCCGUAGUCGAAAGGGAAACAGCCCAGACCACCAGUUAAGGUCCCCAAAUAUAUGUUAAGUGGAAAAGGAUGUGGGGUUGCUUAGACAACCAGGAUGUUGGCUUAGAAGCAGCCACCAUUGAAAGAGUGCGUAAUAGCUCACUGGUCGAGUGACCCCGCGCCGAAAAUGUACCGGGGCUAAACAUAUUACCGAAACUGUGGAUGAACCUCUUUAGAGGUUCGUGGUAGGAGAGCGUUCUAAGGGCGGUGAAGUCAGACCGGAAGGACUGGUGGAGCGCUUAGAAGUGAGAAUGCCGGUAUGAGUAGCGAAAGAAGGGUGAGAAUCCCUUCCACCGAAUAUCUAAGGUUUCCUGAGGAAGGCUCGUCCGCUC